UGCCACUCGAACAUAUGAAUGGUACAUCCUGCCCAGUGACUCAUUAAACGGCCGCGGUAUCCUGACCGUGCAAAGGUAGCAUAAUCAUUUGCCUAUUAAUUGUAGGCUAGUAUGAACGGACAAACGCGGAUCUAACUGUCUCCUUUUAGAAUCUAAAAUUUUAUUUUUAAGUGAAGAAGCUUAAAUUUACUCGCAGGACAAGAAGACCCUAUAGAGCUUUACCUUAAGCCUCAUAUAGAGAGUAUACGGUUCGGUUGGGGCGACCAAGGAAUAUUAAACAUCCUGCAACGAUCAGAUAUACAAAUCUAUCAAAGAUCCUUAUUAAAGAUCAUAGAAUCCAGCUACCUUAGGGAUAACAGGCUAAUUCCCCUAGAGAGCCCAUAUUGACAGGGGAGAUUGGCACCUCGAUGUUGGCUUAGGAUAUCUCUGUGCUGCAGCUGGCACAAUUAGAUGGUUUGUUCAACCAUUAAAUUCCU
rnacentral:rRNA from 1 species